rnacentral:rRNA from 1 species
AACGAACGCUGGCGGCGCGCCUAACACAUGCAAGUCGAACGAGAAGCUGUAGCGAAUACAGUUGUACAGUGGCGAACGGGUGAGGAAUACAUGGGUGACCUACCCUCGAGUGGGGGAAUAACCAGCCGAAAGGUUGGCUAAUACCGCGUACGUUUCCCAGUCCGCGGAUUGGGAAGGAAAGCGAUGCCGUGGGUAUCGCGCUCAAGGUUGGGCUCAUGUCCUAUCAGCUUGGG